AUUUUAAUAGCUUAAAAAUAAAGCAAAGCACUGAAGAUGCUUUAAUAGUAAUUUCUUUAAAAUA
rnacentral:tRNA from 1 species